CGUCAAUGCAGCGGAAAAGAUUCUGUCCCUACUUUCGGGAGGAACCGGGUGCAAGUCCCGGGCUGUCGCGCAACUGUAAGUUCGAAAGAACAAGCCAGAUCUUCCCUGCAAUUCGGUC
rnacentral:ncRNA from 2 species